rnacentral:tRNA from 1 species
CGUGUAAUAAUAACGUCUAACUGUUAAUUAGGAAAUAUGAUCUUUCAUUUACAUGA